rnacentral:rRNA from 1 species
GCAGCCGCGGUAAUACGUAGGGGGCGAGCGUUGUCCGGAAUGACUGGGCGUAAAGGGCGUGUAGGCGGCCUGUUAAGUUAGAAGUGAAAGUCCUGCUUUCAAGGUGGGAAUUGCUUUUAAUACUGAUGGGCUUGAGUGCAGAAGAGGUAAGUGGAAUUCCCAGUGUAGCGGUGAAAUGCGUAGAGAUUGGGAGGAACACCAGUGGCGAAGGCGACUUACUGGGCUGUAACUGACGCUGAGGCGCGAAAGCGUGGGGAGCGAACAGGAUUAGAUACCCC